CGGACGGGUGAGUAACGCGUGGGUAACCUGCCCUGUACAGGGGGAUAACAGUUAGAAAUGACUGCUAACACCGCAUAAGCACACGGUAAGGCAUCUUAGUGUGUGAAAAUAUUCAUAGGUACAGGAUGGGCCCGCGUCUGAUUAGCCAGUUGGCAGGGUAACGGCCUACCAAAGCGACGAUCAGUAGCCGGCUUGAGAGAGUGAACGGCCACAUUGGGACUGAGACACGGCCCAAACUCCUACGGGAGGCAGCAG
rnacentral:rRNA from 1 species